GGUCCGAUGCCACGUCUAUGGUAGCUAAACAUGAGCUCUGACCAAAGAUGCUAUGAUUGGACCAAAAUCAAGAGUGCUUGUCAAUUGUUUCGCAUUUUGAUAGGAAUCUGUUGAUCUUAUAUACGAUGAUUUUGCAGAGCCGAUUUGUGCGAUUACAUUU
rfam:Medicago truncatula strain A17 chromosome 3, whole genome shotgun sequence.